AGUGAACGCUGGCGGUAGGCCUAACACAUGCCAGUCGAACGGCAGCACAUUAAGAGCUUGCUCUUACGGGUGGCGAGUGGCGGACGGGUGAGGAAUACAGCGGAAUCUACUUUUUCGUGGGGGAUAACGUAGGGAAACUUACGCUAAUACCGCAUACGACCUACGGGUGAAAGCAGGGGAUCUUCGGACCUUGCGCGAUUGAAUGAUCCGAUGUCGGAGUAGCUAGUUGGCGGGGUAAAGGCCCACCAAGGCGACGAUCCGUAGCUGGUCUGAGAGGAUGAUCAGACACACUGGAACUGAGAGACGGUCCAGACUCCUACGGGAGGCAGCAGUGGGGAAUAUUGGACAAUGGGCGCAAGCCUGAUCCAGCCAUACCGCGUGGGUGAAGAAGGCCUUCGGGUUGUAAAGCCCUUUUGUUGGGAAAGAAAAGCAGCAGGUUAAGACCCCGCUGUUCUGACGGUACCCAAAGAAUAAGCACCGGCUAACUUCGUG
rnacentral:rRNA from 1 species